rnacentral:rRNA from 1 species
UACAGAGGUCCCAAGCGUUGUUCGGAUUCACUGGGCGUAAAGGGUGCGUAGGCGGUCGGGUAAGUCUGACGUGAAAUCUUCAAGCUUAACUUGGAAACUGCGUCGGAUACUAUUCGGCUAGAGGAAUGGAGGGGAGACUGGAAUACUUGGUGUAGCAGUGAAAUGCGUAGAUAUCAAGUGGAACACCAGUGGCGAAGGCGAGUCUCUGGACAUUUCCUGACGCUGAGGCACGAAAGCGAGGGGAGCAAACGGG